rnacentral:rRNA from 1 species
UAGGGAAUCUUCGGCAAUGGACGAAAGUCUGACCGAGCAACGCCGCGUGAGUGAAGAAGGUUUUCGGAUCGUAAAACUCUGUUGUCAGAGAAGAACAAGGACGUUAGUAACUGAACGUCCCCUGACGGUAUCUAACCAGAAAGCCACGGCUAACUACGUGCCAGCAGCCGCGGUAAUACGUAGGUGGCAAGCGUUGUCCGGAUUUAUUGGGCGUAAAGCGAGCGCAGGCGGUUUCUUAAGUCUGAUGUGAAAGCCCCCGGCUCAACCGGGGAGGGUCAUUGGAAACUGGGAGACUUGAGUGCAGAAGAGGAGAGUGGAAUUCCAUGUGUAGCGGUGAAAUGCGUAGAUAUAUGGAGGAACACCAGUGGCGAAGGCGGCUCUCUGGUCUGUAACUGACGCUGAGGCGCGAAAGCGUGGGGAGCAAACAGG